ensembl:lncRNA
UGAAUAAACGGUUCUUCUCAGAUCUCAACCCUGCUGCGUUUCCGACCGGAAAUUAGAUCAUCGGCUCCACGGUUCUCCAGGUUGCUGACCGCAAAUCUCGGAAUUGGCUCACAGGAGUAUGGAGACCGAGAAGUCCCAAAAUCUGUGUCCGCGUUAAACUGGACAACGCGAGAGCAGAUGGCGUGACUUCCGGUCGAGAACCCAGCGGCUUGAGAUCCGAGAAGAGCGCGUUUCAGUUACACUCUGAAGGCAGGAAACAACCUUUUGGAAUGAGGUGUGCAACAUAAGCUUUAUGAAGAAAAUUUUUCCAGCUUUGUUGAGCACAGAUUGUCAGCCUAUUCCCCUGGACCAAUCAAUCUUGAAUGGAGAUAAGAAAUCUGUAUUAAAUCCUCAGGCAUUGCUACAUGUAUUGGUACUGAAUCAACACUUCAUCUAUGAAGAGAACGAUACCUGUGGUCCUUAUUAAUCAUCCUUUCAAUAAAUUAUUCUUUACCUGAGAUGACACUUUUUGACCUUCCUUUGAUGGACAUCAGCAGGUGAUAAACUCUAUUUUCUUUGUGUUGUGUUAGUUUUUCUGAAAAUAUUUUUAUUAUUUUCUUGUUUUACUGUGUACAGAAUACUUGGAAGAUGUUGUUCCCUUGUCUUUCAACUUCCAUGGCAUACACUGAGUGUACCAUAGUAGUGGGAUGCUGAUAUGGAGGGAAGAAAAUGGGCCACAAAGUGAAGAGAUUGGGGACUGGUAGGACAAGGCUAUACUAUUUCAUGAAAGGGAUCAUCCACAUGAAUAUUGAAAAUCUGAAGAUGAAGUGCAUCCUGCAUGACUGAGAAAGGACCCUGUGAGUUGCCUGCGCUUUGUCUUUCAUGAUUGUGCUGCGCUUUACCUUCACUAAAGCUUUAUUUAGGAAAAACAAAAGAGUGCCCACUAUCACUGUUGCAACUGAAUAUUAUUCUGAAAGUCAUGGGAAGUGCAACAAAAAAUGAAAUAGAAAUGCAAGAUGCCAAAAUUACAAUUUCUUCUGAAACCAUGGUUGUACGUACCAAGAAGAUUUCAAAGAAUCAACCGCGAAAACUCAAAUUUGGGAGCUCUCAACAAAGUGGCCUAUGUUUGGAGUCCCCAAGAUCACCCUCAUAUCCAGUGAUUCACUAGAAGGACUCAUAGGAUUCAGAAAACAGUUAUAGUCAUGUUGCAGUUUAUUACAAAAAAAAAAAAAGAGAUUAAAAUCAGAAAAGGGAGAAGAUGUAUGGGAGAAAGUCCAGAAGAAACUAGGCACAAACUUCUGAGGUUCUUCUCCCAGUGGAGUCACGUGGACAUACUUAUCUCCCAGCAAGAAUGUGUGACAACACGUGCAAUGUGUUGCCAAUUGAGGAAUCUCACUUGAGCCUUGGUGCUCAGAGUUUUAAUUGGGAGGUCAGUCACAUAAGCAUGCAGCAACUGUGUGUUGUUUUUACUGUUGUUUUUGAAUUAACUGAUUUCUCUUAUGAAAAUAUCCAAUUUUUUUAAAUUUAAUUUUUAUUGAGUUAAUGAUAGGUUACAAUCUUGUGAAAUUUCUAUUGUAUAUUACUGUUUGUCAGUCGUGUUGUAAGUGCACCCUUUCAUCCUUUGUGCCCAUCCCCCACCCCACGUUUCCCCCAGUAGCCACUAAUCUGUUCUCUUUGUCUGCAUUUUUAAAUUCUUCAUAUGAGUGGAGUCAUAAAGAGAUUGUCCUUCUCUAUCUGGCUUAUUUCACUUAACAUAAUUCCCUCAAGUUCCAUCCAUGUUGUUGCAAAUGGGACGAUUUUUUUCUUUUUUACGGCUGAGUAGUAUUCCAUUGUAUGUAUAUAUACCACAUCUUCUUUAUCCGAUCGUCUGUUGAUGGGCACUUAGGUUGCUUCCACAUCUUGGCUAUUGUAAAUAAUGCUGCAAUGAACAUUGGGGUGCAUGGGACUUUUGGAAUUGCUGACCUCAAGCUUUUUGGAUAGAUACCCAGUAGUAGGAUAGCUGGAUCCUAUGGUAGUUUUAUUUUUAAUUUUUUGAGGAAUCUCCAUACUGUUGUCCAUAGUGGCUGCACCAGUUUGCAUUCCCACCAGCAGUGUAUGAGGGUUCCUUUUCCUCCACACCCUCUCCAACAUUUGUUACUAUUUGUUUUAGUUAUUUUUGUCAUUCUAAUGAGUGUAAGGUGAUAUCUUAGUGUAGUUUUGAUUUGCAUUUCCCUGAUGAUCAUCGAUGAUGAACAUCUUUUCAUGUUCCUAUUGGCCAUCCAUAUAUCUUCUUUGGAGAAAUGUCUAUUCAUGUCUCCUGUCCAAUUUUUGAUCCAGUUGUUUGAUUUUUUGUUGUUGAGUUGUGUGAGUUCUUUAUAUAUUAUGGAUAUAACCCUGCGUCAGAUUUAUGACCUGCAAAUGUUUUUUCCCAGUUAGUGGGUGGUUUUUUUGUUUCAAUCCUGUUUUCCUUUGACUUGAAGAUGCUCUUCAGUCUGAUUAAGUCCCAUUUGUUUAUUCUUUCUAUUGUUUCCCUUGUCUGAGAAGACAUGGUGUCCUUUUAGUACUGAUGUCAAAGAGUGUACUGCCUACAUUUUCUUCUAGAAGCCUUAUGGUUUCAGGUCUCACCUUUAGGUCUUUGAUCCAUUUUGAGUUUAUUUUGGUGAAUGGUGAAAAAGAAUGGUCAAUUUUCAUUCUUUUACUUGUGGCUUUCCAGUUUUCCAGCACUAUUUGUUGAAAAGACUUUGUUUUCUCCAUUGUAUGCCCUCAGCUCUUCUGUCAAAGAUUAGCUGUCCAUAGAUGUGUGGUUUUAUUUCUGGGCUUUCAAUUCUGUUCCAUCGAUAUGUGCACCUGUUUUUGUACCAGGACCGUGCUGUUUUGAUUACUGUAGCUUUGUAGUAUGUUUUAAAAUUCGGGAUUGUGAUGCCUCCAGCUUUGUUCUUUUUUCUCAGGAUUGCCUUACCAAUUCAGGGUCUUUUGUUGCCCCAUAUGAAUUUUAGGAUUCUUUCUUCUAUUUCUGUAAAGAAUUCAUUGGGAUUCUGAUUGGGAUGGCAUUGAAUCUGUAGAUUGCUUUAGGUAGAGUGGACAUUUUAGCUAUGUUUAUUCUUCCAAUCCAAGUACAUGGAAUGUCUUUCCAUCUCUUUAUGUCGUCAUUCCAUUUCUUUAAGAAAAGCCUUGUAAUUUUCAUUGUAUAGGUCUUGCACUUCCUUAGUUAAAUUCACUCCGAGGUAUUUUAUUCUUUUUGUUGCGAUUGUGAAUGGUAUUGUGUUCUUGAAUUCUUUUUCUGUUAGUUUGUUAUUAGAGUAUAGAAAUGCUACUGAUUUAUGUAAAUUGAUUUUAUACCCUGCAACAUUGCUGUAGUUGUUGAUUACUUCUAAAAUUUUUCCAAUGGAUUCUUUGGGGUUUUCUGUAUAUAAGAUCAUGUCAUCUGCAAACAGUGAGAGUUUCACUUUUUCCCUCCCUAUUUGGAUUCAUUUUAUUCCUUUUCUUGCCUAAUUGCUCUGGCCAAAACCUCCAGUACUAUGUUAAAUAAGAGUGAUGAUAAAGGGCAUCAUUAUCUCGUUCCUGUUUUCAGGGGGAUGGCACUCAGUUUUUGCCCAUUGAGUAUGAUGUUGGCUAUGGGUUUGUCAUAUAUGGCCUUUAUUAUGUUGAGGUAGUUUCCGUCUAUCCCCAUUUUGUUAAGAGUUUUUAUCCUAAAUGGCUGUUUGAUCUUGUCAAAUGCUUUCUCUGCAUCUAUUGAGAUGAUCACAUGGUUUUUAUUCCUCAGUUUGUUGAUGUGGUGUAUCACGUUGAUUGACUUGUGGAUGUUGAACCCUCCCUGUGUCCCUGGUAUGAAUACCACUUGAUCAUGAUGUAUAAUCUUUUUGAUGAAUUCCUGAAUUUGGGUUGCCAAAAUUUUGUUGAGAAUUUUUGCAUCUAUGUUCAUCAGUGAUAUUGGCCAGUAGUUCUCCUUUUUCACAGGCUUUGGUAUCAGCGUGAUGUUGGCCUCGUAGAAUGUGUCAGGAAGUGUUCCAUCCUCCCUAAUUUUUUGGAAUAGCUUGAAAGGGAUAGGUAUUAAAUCCUCUCUGAAAGUGUGGUAGAAUUCCCCAGGAAAGCCAUCUGGUCCUGGAGUUUUAUUCUUUGGGAUGCUUUUGAUUGCUGUUUCAAUCUCUUUCCUUGUGAUUGGUCUGUUCAAAUUGUCUGCUGCUUCUUGACUAAGUUUUGGGAGAUUGUGAGAGUCCAAGAAUUUAUCCAUUUCCUCUAGGUUAUCCAUUUUGUUGGCAUGUAGUUUUUCGUAGUAUUCUAUUAUAAUCUGUUGUAUUUCUGCAGAGUCUGUUAUUUCUCCUCUUUCAUUUCUGAUUUUGUUUAUUUGAGCUUUUUCUCUUUGUUUCUUUUUAAGUCUGGCUAGGGGUUUGUCAAUUUUAUUUAUCUUCUCAAAGAACCAGCUCUUUGUUUCAUUGAUCCUUUCUACUGCCUUUUUUGUUUCAAUAGCAUUUAUUUCUGCUCUCAUUUUUAUUAUUUCCCUCCUUCUAUUGACUUUGGGCUUUGUUUGUUCUUCUUUCUCUAAUUUGGUUAGGUGUAGUUUAAGAUUGCUUAUUUGGGGUUUUUCUUGUUUGUUAAGAUGUGUCUGUAUUGUGAUGAAUUUUCCUCUUAAUACAGCUUUUGCUGUAUCCCAUAAGACUUGGUAUGGCAUGUUAUCAUUUUCAUUUAUCUCCAGGUAUUUUUUGAUUUCUUCUUUAAUUUCUUCAAUGAUCCAUUGCUUGUUCAAUAACAUAUCAUUUAGUCUCCACAUCCUUGUGCCUUUCUCAGAUUUUUUCUUGUAAUUAAUUUCUAGCUUUAUAGCAAUAUGAUCAGAGAAGAUGCUUGUUAUUAUUUCAAUUUUUUUAAAUUUGUAGAGGCUUGCCUUGUUUCCCAACAUAUGGUCUAUCCUUCAGAAUGUUCCAUGUGUGCUUGACAAGAAUGUGUAUUCUGUUUUGGGAUGAAUUGUUCUAUAUAUGUCUAUUAAGUCCAACUGUUUUAGCUUUUCAUUUAGCUCCACUGUUUCCUUGUUGAUUUUCUGUCUGGAUGAUCUGCCCAUUGAUGUGAGUGGGGUGUUGAGGUCCCCUACUAUUAUUGUGUUACUUUUGAUACCUUCUUUUAGGUUUGUUAAUAGUUGCUUUAUGAACUUUGGUGCUCCUGUGUUGGGUGCAUAGAUAUUUAUAAGUGUUGUUUCUUCUUGACGAAGUGUCCCUUUGAUCAUUAUAUUUUGGCCCUCUAUGUCUCUCUUUACCUGCCUUAUUUUGAAAUCUGUUUUGUCUGAUAUAAGUAUUGUGACACCUGCUUUCUUUUGUUUCCUAUUAGCUUGGAGUAUUGUAUUCCACCCCUUCGCUCUGAGCCUGUGUUUGUCCUUGGAGCUGAGGUGUGUUUCCUGGAGGCAACAAAUUGUUGGCUCUUGUUCUUUAAUCCAUUUUGCACCUCUGUGUGUUUUUAUUGGAGUGUUCAAUUGUUUACAUUGAGGGUGAUUAUUGAUGCAUGAGGGCUUAAUGCUGUCAUUCUGUCGCUUGUUUUCUGGUUUUCCUGCAUUUCCUUUGUUUCUCAUCCUGUGUGUUUUAGCCUACCCAUUGACUUCUGCAUUUUCUUCUGCUGGAUUUCUUAGACUUUUCCUUAUUUAUGUUUUGUGUCUCUGUUCUGUUUUUUAGUUUAGUGGCUAUCCUGAAGUUUGUGUUCAGAAUUUCGUGUAUAACAGUCCAUUUUCUGGUGGUCUCUUACUUCCUUAGCCUAGACUGAUUCAGUCCCUUUCCUGCUCCCCUCCUAAAUUAUUAUUUUCAUCUCUUAUUCCAACUUGUAUUGUGAGUUUGUGGUUAGAGUGAUAAGAUUGUCUUUCUUUGAUGAUUUUCUUCUCUUUAUCCUAAUGCUAUAGUUGAAUAUUUGCUAUCCUAUUCUGAUUCUAUUUGUCUCUCUACUCUGUGUUUUGUGACCCCUUUCUCCCUUUUUUUCUUUUUUCAGGUAUGAGAGCCUUCUUGAGGAUUUCUUGUAGUGGCAGUCUUGUGGCUACAAAGCCCCUUAGCUUUUGUUUGUCUGAAAAAGAUUUAAUUUCUCCCUCAUAUCUGAAGGAUAUUCUUGCUGGAUAGAGUAUUCUUGGCUGAAGAUUUUUAUCCUUUAAAGCUUUGAAUAUGUCAUUCCAAUCUCUCCUAACUUGUGAGGUUUCUGUAGAGAAAUCCACUGAAAGUCUGAUAGGGGUUCCUUUGUAGCUUAUUUUCUUCUGCCUUGCUGCCCUGAGUAUUCUUUCUUUGUCAUUCAUUUUUGCCAUUUUUAUUACUAUGUGCCUUGCAGUAGGUCUUUUUACAUUGACAAAUCUAGAUCUGAAAGCUUUCUCCACACACAUUUCUCUCUCAAUCCCUAUAUUUGGGAAGUUCUCUUCUAUUAUUUCUUUAAGCACACUUUCUGCUCCAUUUUUUCUUUUCCACACCCUCAGGAAUUCCGAUAAUUCUUCAGUCUCAUUUUCUCAUUGAGUCAGAUAAUUCUCACAGAUUUUCUUCAGUUUUUUUAAUUCUUAGUUCUCUUUCUUCCUCUGUCUGGGCCAUGCAGCUUGUCUAUCUUCGAUUAUACUAAUUUGCUCCUCUAUGGUGUCUACAUGGGCAUUCAAAGAGUCCCUAUUCUGUUUUAUCUGAUCUGUUGUAUUUUUCAUCUCUAGUAUUUCUGAUUGAUUCUUCUUUAUAGUUUCCAUCUCUUUUGUGAAGUAAUUCCAGAACUCGUUGACUUGUUUCUCUAUAUUUCCCUUUACUUCAUUGAGUUUUUUGAUGAUAGCUACUCUGAAUUCAUUGUCACUUAGUUUACCUGUUUCCAAGUCCUCAGGACAUACUUCUGUGUUUUUAUUAUUUUCCUUUUGGUCUGGAGCUUUUAUAAAUUACUGAAAGGUAGAGGAGCGGUUUUUGUGCAUAAUGCUAUUAUUCAGUUGCAGUUAGAGCCUGUCACCACUAGAUGGGGAUUGAGAGCAGCACGUUCUGAGCCCUCCACCUUCAGCCACGAUGGCGGCAUGCAGCGCAGGUUGGGGGGGGGGCACUUUCUCUUGUGCGCUGACCUGGAUUCGGAUCAGCUCUCACUCUCUGGUUUUCUGGGGCCCUGGCUUGAUGUGGUCCCCCCACUCAAAAGCUUUCCCCUGUUAGAUGGUUUCUGCUGCACAGAUCUGUGGGAGUCCUGGAUGAUGCUUGGAUGCGCGGCCCCUCCCCUGUUCCUUUCCUCACCCACGGCAGUGAUCCUAGUCUCUAUGGGAGGCAGCGAAGAUCUCUCUUACCCCUUCCAGCUGCUCUGAGGACAGCUCCAGCCUCUCCACCCUCCAUUGUUUGGCUGCUGUGGGUCUCUGACAAUUUCUGUUAUUAGGAUUUUUUUUUCUGGUUGGAAAGCAGUUGGUGCUUUUGGUUGCAGUUUGGAGGGGAGAGAGUCCCAGGUGAGCUCACUCUACCAUAUUGCUGACGUCACCUCGAAAAUACCAGAUUUUUAUAGUGGGUUUGGAAUGUUGGAAAACUAGCACAAUUGUUUAAAGAGUUAUUCAAAUUAUUUUUGAUUCAUUUAACAAGUACUUUUUCAAAACAUACGAACAAUGUCAUCCACUGUUCUAGGCUGGGACUAUUGUAUCAACAAUACAGACAAGUCGACCACUCUUUUGGAACAUAUAUUAUGCCUCUACCUUUGGGGAAUAAAGGAUCAACAUUAAUGUGAACCGAAAUACACUUAUGGCUUUUAUAUAACACUAUGUUGACUUUUCUGCCUGAAAACACUGCAAUUCUGUAACAAUGUCAACAAAUCAAAUACAUAUUUAGUGAGCAUCUGGGUAUGUACAAAGCUCUCCCCCAGGUGCUGUGGAUAUAUAUGCAGUUUAUGACUAAGUUAAACAAGAAACAAAAACAUGAAAAAAUAAAAUAAAAUACCUUGUUUCAGCCAUCACAAGAUAUGAGGAAAAACACAUUAUUUAAUAAAAUUCAUUUUUUAUUCUGUGGUUGGUACCCAAUUACCAAUACUGCUGAUAUUUUGAACAGCCCUACAUGUUAGGUUUGAUUAUCCUCACUUUGUAUAUAUGGAAACUGAGAUUUGGAAAACUGAAGUGUUCUGAGAGAGAUAGAUAAUAUAUGUCAGAGCUUGGAGUUAUAGUUAUCAUUCUACAAAACCCAGGUCCUUUAUACCAGAGCUUUUCAAAAUAUGUGUGGAGAAGGAACACAGAUCCAUUGUGGACCAAUACUUUUGUAAACUGCAAUAAAAAUA